ACUAACAGGGUUAUUCUGGGCAACCUCACUGAUGUCUCACAAGUCACAAUAACCUCAUAACUCGAGUUAAACUCGAUUUUGUGACUUUUUCGUAUUCUAACGAAAACCUCACAGUCACAAGAACCUCAUAAGGUGUGGUGAGUUUGAUUUUGUGAGGUUUUUGGAAUUCUGGCGUAACCUCACAACUUGUGAGCCUCAUAAAAAUUGUAAAAAUUGUGAUCUCCUUCAGAGCAGGUCACAACUCACAAAUUACUAGAGUUUUGACAUUUUUCAUUUCUAUAAAAUGUUUUGAGAACAAAUAAUUUAAGUUUUUUUAUUUUUGAGUCAAUAAAAAUGGAAUUAGACCUUAUUUUAUUGCAUUUCAUUGCAGAAUUUUCAUCGGAAAGUGAAAAAUUGCAACGCGUCGUCGGCGGCUCUUGAAAACGUUAAGAGACACCAAUGAUUUAGCAAAACGCUUAAAAGCAGCAGCGGCAACAUCAUCGACAAGUGCGCAUACAACAAUUACAACAACUUCAGUAUCAGCCCCAAACACUAAAAAUAAUAAACAGAGUUUAAUGACGUCCGUAGUUGAAGUUCCUUAGCCUAAUUGGCAAUUUUUAGUCAUCACGGGUUGACACAGUAAAUCAACAGGCCAAAAUCAGCCUCCAGUUGACCACAAGAUACAAAUAAGGCCAAUUGUCAAUGAUUCAGGCCUUUAAAUAGGAAGCCCCGCAGUCAUUCCACACAACAAAGGCCAACUCACAAUCAUCACCCACGGCAACAGCAGCAACAUCAGCAAUAGCAACAAGAAGUCAAUGCCAAAGCAUUAGCGUAUGCACUUAUGCAGCCAAUGCAACUACCAGACAAUAAGCAAUACCCCAAGUUCCGCAAACACUGUGUGUCUCAGUUUUAUUUUUACCGAUCUCAAAUUCACCAAAAGAUCACCAAUCGCAGACUCUGUUGAAAAAAUUUAUUUGUUUUGAUUUACAAAAAUCUUUCCUAAAUUCUAGAAAUUAGAGAAUUUUAUUUUUUUUUUUAGAAAAAUUAUUUUAUUAAAACGCAUCUUACAAUAAAAAUAACGUAUGAAUGCAACCAAAA